AUGGGCGCAAGCCUGACGGAGCAACGCCGCAUGUGUGAAGAAGGCUCUUUGGCUGUCAACCACUUUUCUCAUGGAAGAAGUCCUGACGGUACCUGAGGAAUCAGCCUCGGCUAACUCCGUGCCAGCAGCCGCGGUAAUACGGAGGAGGCAAGCGUUAUCCGGAAUUAUUGGGCGUACAGCGUCCGCAGGGGGCACUUCAAGUCUGCUGUCAAAGGUCGGAGCUUAACUCCGGUUCGGCAGUGGAAACUGGAGUGCUAGAGGGCGACAGGGGUAGAGGGAAUUCCCAGUGUAGCGGUGCACUGCGUAGAGAUUGGGAAGAACACCGGUGGCGAAAGCGCUCUACUGGGUCGCACCUGACCCUCAGGGACGAAAGCUAAGGUAGCGAAAGGGAUUAGAUACCCCUGUAGUCUUAGCCGUAAACGAUGGAUACUAGGCGUGGUUUGUAUCGACCCAAGCCGUGCCGAAGCUAACGCGCUAAGUAUCCCGCCUGGGGAGUACGCACGCAAGUGUGAAACUCAAAGGAAUUGACGGGGGCCCGCACAAGCGGUGGAGGAUGUGGUUUAAUUCGAUGCAACGCGAAGAACCUUACCAGGGCUUGACAUCCCGCGAAUCUUGCUGAAAGGUGAGAGUGCCUUCGGGAGCGCGGAGACAGGUGGUGCAUGGCAGUCGUCAGCUCGUGUCGUGAGAUGUUGGGUUAAGUCCCGCAACGAGCGCAACCCUCGUCGUUAGUUGCCAGCAUUAAGUUGGGCACUCUAGGGAGACUGCCGGUGACAAACCGGAGGAAGGUGAGGAUGACGUCAAGUCAGCAUGCCCGUUAUGAUGUGGGCGACACACGUCCUACAAUGGUCGGGACAAAGGGGAGCAAGCUCGCGAGAGUAAGCGAAUCCCAGCAAACUCGGCCUCAGUUCAGAUUGCAGGCUGCAACUCGCCUGCAUGAAGGAGGAAUCGCUAGUAAUCGCAGGUCAGCAUACUGCGGUGAAUUCGUUCCCGGGCCUUGUACACACCGCCCGUCACACCAUGGAA
rnacentral:rRNA from 1 species